rnacentral:rRNA from 1 species
GAUGAACGCUGGCGGCGUGCCUAAUACAUGCAAGUCGAGCGAACGGACGAGAAGCUUGCUUCUCUGAUGUUAGCGGCGGACGGGUGAGUAACACGUGGAUACCCUACCUAUAAGACUGAGAUAACUUCGUGAAACCGGAGCUAAUACCGGAUAAUAUUUUGAACCACAUGGUUCAAAAGUUAAAGACGGUCUUGCUGUCACUUAUAGAUGGAUCCGCGCUGCAUUAGCUAGUUGGUAAGGUAACGGCUUACCAAGGCAACGAUGCAUAGCCGACCGGAGAGGGGGAUCGGCCACACUGGAACUGAGACACGGUCCAGACGCCUACGGGAGGCAGCAGUAGGGAAUCUUCCGCAAAGGGCGAAAGCCUGACGGAGCAACGCCGCGUGAGUGAUGAAGGUCUUCGGAUCGUAAAACUCUGUUAUUAGGGAAGAACAUAUGUGUAAGUAACUGUGCACAUCUUGACGGUACCUAAUCAGAAAGCCACGGCUAACUACGUG